rnacentral:tRNA from 1 species
AUUUAUAUAGUUUAACAAAAACAUCGCAAUUUCAAUGCGGAAUUAGAAUAUUUCUUAUAAAUU